GGUAUCCUAACCGUGCAAAGGUAGCGUAAUCACUUGUCUUUUAAAUAAAGACUAGUAUGAAUGGCCACAUGAGGAUAGACCUGUCUCUUAUAAUCAACCAGUGAAACUGAUCUUUAAGUACAAAAGCUUAAAUAAACACAUAAGACGAGAAGACCCUGUGAAGCUUAAAACUACCACUAUCUUAAAACAGUAUAGUGUUAAAUUUUAGUUGGGGCGACUUCGGAACAAAAUAAAACUUCCGAGCAGGAGUCAACCUCUCCAACCAAGACCAACAAGUCAAAGAAAAACCAGACCCAGUCUAACUGAACAACGAACCAAGUUACCCCAGGGAUAACAGCGCUAUCUUCUUCAAGAGUCCAUAUCGACAAGAAGGUUUACGACCUCGAUGUUGGAUCAGGACACCCAAAUGGUGCAGCAGCUAUUAAAGGUUCGUUUGUUCAACGAUUAAUAGUCCU
rnacentral:rRNA from 1 species